rnacentral:lncRNA from 1 species
CAGCAUGAUGUGCAUUGGGUUUGGAGAUGUCUGAUCAUGUUCUAACUGUGCCUGAGAAAACUGCAGGUAUCUUGGAAUCUCAACAAACAAGUGUUCUGGUGACUAAGGAUCACUGAGAUUCAAAAUUAUACCCUCGGUGCCUGCUAAGAAGCAAAAAGCCAAGGCCCCUCGCAUCAUUUUGAGAAUGCCAGAAGAACAGAAUAUUAAGAAUGAGAUUUCUUGGCCUGGUAGUGGUGGCGCACGCCUUUAAUCCCAGCACUCGGGAGGCAGAGGCAAGCAGACUUCUGUG